GACGAACGCUGGCGGCGUGCCUAAUACAUGCAAGUCGAACGCUUCUUUCCUCCCGAGUGCUUGCACUCAAUUGGAAAGAGGAGUGGCGGACGGGUGAGUAACACGUGGGUAACCUACCCAUCAGAGGGGGAUAACACUUGGAAACAGGUGCUAAUACCGCAUAACAGUUUAUGCCGCAUGGCAUAAGAGUGAAAGGCGCUUUCGGGUGUCGUUGAUGGAUGGACCCGCGGUGCAUUAGCUAGGUGGUGAGGUAACGGCUCACCAAGGCCACGAUGCAUAGCCGACCUGAGAGGGUGAUCGGCCACACUGGGACUGAGACACGGCCCAGACUCCUACGGGAGGCAGCAGUAGGGAAUCUUCGGCAAUGGACGAAAGUCUGACCGAGCAACGCCGCGUGAGUGAAGAAGGUUUUCGGAUCGUAAAACUCUGUUGUUAGAGAAGAACAAGGACGUUAGUAACUGAACGUCCCCUGACGGUAUCUAACCAGAAAGCCACGGCUAACUACGUG
rnacentral:rRNA from 1 species